GGAGGCGUAACUCAAUCGGUCAGAGUGUUCGCCUGUCACGCGGAAAGUUGGGGGUUCAAGUCCCCCCGUCUCCG
rnacentral:tRNA from 1 species